GGUGAAGCACAAGUCAACCAGCAUGGCUAAUCGACUGGAUGACAAAGAACAAGCUGCAGGAGGACAUGGCCAUCUUCUUUCUGGUCCUUGCUUGCCUCACUGAGAGGAAGGAUGGUGACCUAACUGGUAAGUUUUGGGAAAGGAACUCCACCGUAUGGCUCAGUCUCUCCGGAAUCUCCUCCUCUGGCACCUGGCAGCCUGUGUGCCAGCAGGUGCCCACCGAAGUCUUUUCCUCCAUUCAGCCAGCUUACCGGACAGGCUCAGCCCGUCAAGAGCUGGAGUCACGUUUAAUUAGGAACACUUCGUGAAAGUGCAUCUAAGCCACAUUCUCCAGUCAAUUUCAUCUGUGAGAAAGUGGAGGCGUUUGCGUCUCCAUUUGCUCUCUGUGCUUGUUCCUUGCUUGAGACGGGACACAGGGGUAUUACUGACAGCCCCCCAUACUCCCACCCCAAGCCCCUCUACUUAACAGUGCUCAACCCAUAGGAAGCGCUCAGUAAGUGCACAGACAUCUAUUCUAGGAGCCUAACAUUCUCCCAAACCAAUCCCACAGUAUCACAAGGUUGGCAAGGUCCCCAGAAGUCUCCUGAGGGGAAGACUGGACAACUCCACCCCAGCGACUCAGCCUUGUGGCCCUGAUGCUUUUGACUUCAGGCCUCAUUUGAUGACUUGCAGGUUCCUAAAAGGCUUGCCUCUUGAUAUUGGCCAGAGAGCUCUAACAGAAAGCCCUGGAGACUACAGCCUUAUAUCUUCACUUGAAAUAAUCUGCUUGUCCUUGUGGAAUGAGGAUGGAAAGAGGGAGAAAGCAGAGGGGUUAGAAUAGUAUGUUGUUGUGGGGGAGGUACCUAUUCCCUUUGAAUUGCCAAAUGACCUGGGGACCAGGGAAGCUCUACCUGAAUAUGGGGCUCUGCCCCAUUUAUCCUUUUCACAGAGGUCCUCAUCUUAAUAUUUCAAUAGCUAUGUUGGAAAGCCUGAUGAAAAUGAACUCUACCAUUACUUUGCUGUGAGACCUUGCGCAAGCGCCUUCACCUUUCUGGACCUCAGUCUCCUCAGACAGAUCAAGAAUAAGACCAUUGGGCUAAGUGUGAGCAGGAAAGAAUAAGGAGCUGGGAAGGGAUUGCCUAAGCCCUUGCAUGCUGGCUCUCUCCAGUGGGUGGCUAGACCCCCAGUUCCCUGCGCCCACCCAGGAGACUCACAGAAGGACGGGCAGGGAUUUCUGUGUUUCCCACUCUCAUUUCUAAGGCCUCGAAGUGCCCAAGUUUAGGUACAGUAUUCUGCCUCCUCUACCUUCCUCUAACCAGCCUUUUGUCUCAGAAGCCCACUUUUAUGGACUAUAAUCAGGACAUCCUCACUUCCGGUUUUGAUUGAGUUUGGCCAAUGGGAGGUGAUGGCAAGACAGCAGAGGACCGGGGGAGAAAGAGACGGAAGUGAGAUUUCCCUGGUGCCUCCCUGCUUUCCUCCUGGCUCUGUGUCCCUGGCAGUGGCAGCAUUUUGUGGUCACGGCUCCUAUUGGGAGGCCUCUCUUCCUGGACUCAGCUUCCACCAGUCUUCCUCGCAGAGUUCCCUCCCAUAAUUUCCUCCUUUGGAGGAGUGCAAGAAGGACUUCUGUCAUUAGUUGCUAGGGACCUUACACGUCUUGUCAGGUCCUUCCACCCACACACACCUCUGAACCAGUCCAUCCAUUAGCAAUCCCCUCAGCCAUCCUUCUGAAGGUGCCUUUUCUUUCCUGCCAUAUCUAACUGAUAAUGGACUCUCACGACCUCUCUUCCAAUUUUCACAACGGGUAUUCCAACUGAGCCCAGGCAUGGAGAGGUUCACCUUGAAGACCAAGAGGCAAGUUCUGAAGGGACAAAGCCACAAUUCCUUCCCUGCUGCUCAGCCCUUGCCUUCCAGCGGCUCACACUCUCUCUGAUCCUCAGUGCUAGUGAGUAAGUAGAAAGUCAUCUAGUGCUCUGCCACUGGAUGACACGUUUUACCAAACACUAUUCUGUUGCUCACCAUCACCAUCUGUAUUGGUGUAGAAGCUGCAUUCUUCUUACCGUCUAUCUUGUUUUUAGUGGAAAGACUCCCAAAUUCCCUUUUAUUCACACAUAACACACGAAUGAUUCACAAGUGGGAAAGUCAACAGGGCUCCUUUGACCUUAGUCUUCUCAUUGGUAAAAAUUAGAUAAUAUAAUAAUAUUCUCAACCUCAUAAGGAUGGGGUGAGGGUUAAAUGAGUAGCGUCUGUAAGUGCUCAGCAGAGCAGGUGCAAACUAUUAGCCGUUACUUUUAUUCUCCCAUCUGAUUUAUCUUGCCUCACUUUCCUACCACGUGUAUGCAGGAAGGGGAACAGCGAACCAGCUAGGAAUUCCCAAAUGCCCCCACUUUCAAUCCUUUCCUUGGCACGUCGUCCCCCCUCCAUGCCCUAUCCCCAAGUAGAUUUCCUUCUCUAGCACUUUUUCAUCCCAGGAAGCUCCUGGAAGAGCAAGCCAGGAAGUUGUAAAAUUAUGUUUUCUGUUUUCAAUUCUAGACCAGUGGUUUUCACAUGGUGGUCAAGGGGAUCCCUAGGGUUCCCAAGAAGCCCCCAUGGACCACAGAAAGUGGUUACUGCUGUAGGUCAUACCUUUCAGCUUGCUUUGAUCUGAGACUCCUUUUAAGAUUCUGUUUAAACAGACUUCUGAGGCUUAAAGUUGAGAACCCCCGUAUGACUGUUGUGAGACACUGAUGUUCCAGAUUUUAUAAGUCUCAGUGCUAAUUUCUUCAAAGAAGAAAUUGCCAAGAAACCUUAUUCCAUUCUUAUCAUUUGUAUUCUUUUCUAUUUCUGAUAUGAUCUGAAAUAGAUAUGUGAACAAACAAGUCUUUGUGUACUUACAUGGGCUGUCCUUCCCAGGUACUCUUCACGUUCAGCCAACAUUGUCCCCUUAAUUCCCUAGGGAAGAUAACUACAACACUGUUUAACAACAGAGUGAAGGCACUUGACUUUUAUCGGCACCUGAUCUCACCACUGGAGUGCAUCCAUCCCUGGGAAUCCCAGGUUGCCAGGGGACUAUCUGUGCAGUUCAAGACUUUGGCACAGAGAAUAUGAAUGGAUGAAGGGAGCAAAAGCCCCAGCCUCCAGAUAUCUGCCUGGAACACUCUUCCACAUUGACACAAGUUUCCCUCCCAUUCUCCAUUUGGGUCUUUGGAUCAAAUAUUACCUCAUUAGAACUGCCUUCAGACUGGGGGCAAGAGGAACCCCCUACCUUGUCUUCUGAGCUCUCCAGUCCUCUUCCAGCCAUGCCCCUUUCCACAGAGUUAGAAGCCCAUGGGUCAAGGGGAUGUGCCCACCCAAAGCUCCUGUGCCUCACCUCUUCUUAGAUCAUACAGGGAGUACCCGAGACCCUAGAACUCCCAUUCCAAGAGUACCAGGCCAACUUCCAGAGACUACAUCAGCCUUUUCCUCAAGGUCUAUUCUCUUGAGGAACCAAGGAUGGGCUAUUUGCUAAAGGUAUGGCUGGAGCUCAGAUAUGCAGACAGGGAUGUUAUAGGUGCAGGCACAAAGUCCCAUGAAGAGUGGGACAGAGCUGGGGUGCAAAGAACGGGAGGAAGUUUGAGGGCCAGGGACCAGUUACCACCCAAGAAGCCCCAUUCCAGUGCACAUCUUAGGGGGAGUCUGAGAAUCCUAAACUUAAGUUUGGCCUUCCAGAUUUUUGUGACUGUGUACUUGUCAAGAUGAAAGGACAGGAUUUCUACCUAAGUUUAGACUGGCUUAUAAUUUUAAAUUAGGUAGAUAUACGUGUGGGGCUUCCCAGGUGCUCAGUGAUAAACAAUUCGCCUGCCAAUGUAGGAGACAUGAGUUUGAUCCCUGGGUCGGGAAGAUCACCUGGAGAAGGAAAUGGCUACCCACUCUAGUAUUCUUGCCUGGGAAAUCCCAUGGACAGAGGAGCCUGGAGGGCUGCAGUCCAUGGGGGUCGCAAAGAGUCGGAUGUGACCUAAUGACUGAGCACACACACAUGAUAUGUUUAUCUCCAUUUGCACUGUUUGCCCUGGCCCUGUAAAUAUCAGGGAUGGGUCUAUCCCUGACCUCCCUAUCUAAAAUAAAAUACCACUUCCUCUGUCA
rnacentral:lncRNA from 1 species